GGGAUGUAGCUCAGUUGGGAGAGCGCCUGCCUUGCAAGCAGGAGGUCGGCGGUUCGAGUCCGCUCAUCUCC
rnacentral:tRNA from 1 species